UGGGGAAUUUUGGACAAUGGACGCAAGUCUGAUCCAGCCAUGCCGCGUGCGGGAAGAAGGCCUUCGGGUUGUAAACCGCUUUUGUCAGGGAAGAAACGAGUUUCUUUAAUACAGAGACUUAAUGACGGUACCUGAAGAAUAAGCACCGGCUAACUACGUGCCAGCAGCCGCGGUAAUACGUAGGGUGCAAGCGUUAAUCGGAAUUACUGGGCGUAAAGCGUGCGCAGGCGGUUAUGUAAGUCAGAUGUUAAAUCUCCGGGCUGAACCUGGGAACUGCGGUUGUGACUGCAGAGCUAGAGGGCGGUAGAGGGGGGUGGAAGUCGGGGUGUAGCAGUGAAAUGCGUAGAUAUGCGGAGGAACACCGAUGGCGAAGGCAGCCUCCUGGGCCAGUACUGACGCUCAUGCACGAAAGCGUGGGGAGCAAACA
rnacentral:rRNA from 1 species